rnacentral:rRNA from 1 species
AGCGAACGUUAGCGGCGCGCCUAACACAUGCAAGUCGCACGAGAAAGGGGGCCAACCCCCGGUACAGUGGCGCACGGGUGAGUAACACGUGGAUUACCUGCCCUGGAGUGGUGGAUAACCUGUCGAAAGACGGGCUAAUACAGCAUGAGACCCCGUGAUUUCGAUCAUGAGUCAAAGCGGCCUCUAUUCAUAAGCUCGCGCUCC